CCUUUCUUCAGCUGAUGUUCCUUCUUCUCUGAUGACUGCUUGUGUCAAGUUGACAAACAAAACCAGCCAGUGAAGUAGUAUUUGGUUUUGCCUUAAGUCCCUGGACCAUCUAACAUCAGGUUCUUGGUCAUCCAAGCAGUGUCAGAAACCCGCCGUGGAAGAGUGCUCCAGGGACCGUGGGCUGCCCGGCAGGCCAGGUUUUUUCUCCUUAGCCCUAGAACACUGCUUAGUCCAGACCGGAAGAGCCCAGACUUCCCAAGGCUACGUAGGGGUCCUGGUGACAUAAUUUUAAGUCACAGGAAAUGACCCCCCAAUUUAGAUUUCUACUUCCUUCUACAAGGACGGAGACAACUCAACCCCACCGAAUGAAACCAGCGUUGCAUAGCCUACCAAUGGCUUCCUCAUUGCCAAGCUGAAUGGACAUUUUCCAGUGCUCAUUUGUUUGACAUCAUUGGCGUUUCUCACUCAACAACUACUUCCACAACCUGGAGAAAUGUAUGAUAACGUGUGGCGCUGUUUCCCUCCUUGAUCCUCAUCCCACUUCAUCUCUUCUCAAAAAUCUCUUAUCUGAUCAUGAGAAACUGAGAUUUGAUAUUCUACCCCCCCACCCCAAAACCAUGUACUCUGUGGCCACCUGAGCCCUGCCCCCAUUUCAGAGACCACCUUCUGUGGAAUGUUCCCUGUCGGACAGGUAUCUAUCAUCGGAAACUUUCCUGGAGACAUUCACCUGGAUACUCUACAGGCACAUCCAAAAUAUGUUCAAAGCAUCCUGUCUUCUUCUCAAGUCAA